UGGCGAGAGUAAUGGCGACUUCACCGAUUGACGGCACGUAGCUUUCCCAGUGCCGCACGCGCAGGCCGAUCACGGCGACAUUCAGGCGGUGGAGUAAUAUGCCGCCGAUGAUCAGAGCGCAUGCCCAGGCCAGGCCGCGCCGGCUUCCCCGCACUUCGGGCGUCAGCAGCAGAACAAACGGAAUCAUCAGGCCGAAAACGAUCUCGACCCAGAACGAGACUGCAAACCAAGAUGAGAUGAACAUGGCAUCAGCGGCGCCGCGAUAAAAAAGAUCGCCC
rnacentral:rRNA from 1 species